CGGCCUGAGAGGGCGCACGGACACACUGGAACUGAAACACGGUCCAGACUCCUACGGGAGGCAGCAGUGGGGAAUUUUGCGCAAUGGGGGAAACCCUGACGCAGCAACGCCGCGUGGAGGAUGAAAUCCCUUGGGAUGUAAACUCCUUUCGAUAGGGAAGAUAAUGACGGUACCUAUAGAAGAAGCCCCGGCUAACUUCGUGCCAGCAGCCGCGGUAAUACGAGGGGGGCAAGCGUUGUUCGGAAUUAUUGGGCGUAAAGGGUGCGUAGGCGGUUUGACAAGUCUUAUGUGAAAUCUUCGGGCUCAACCCGAAGUCUGCAUGGGAAACUGUCGGGCUUGAGUAUGGGAGAGGUGAGUGGAAUUUCCGGUGUAGCGGUGAAAUGCGUAGAUAUCGGAAGGAACACCUGUGGCGAAAGCGGCUCACUGGACCAUAGCUGACGCUGAUGCGCGAAAGCGUGGGGAGCAAACAGGAUUAGAUACCCUGGUAGUCCACGCCGUAAACGAUGUGUGC
rnacentral:rRNA from 1 species